rnacentral:lncRNA from 1 species
GUAUUUUUGUGUCACAUUGUACUACAGUGUGUUACAGUGUUUUACACUAUUUUACAGUAGUGCAUUUUUGGGUGUACAGUCGGGAGCUGCUGUGCCUGUACUGUGAGGCGUGGGUUAAGCUGGAGCUGGAUGUGUAUCUUUGCCAGCAGGCUUUACGAGAGGCACUGGACAGCAGGGAGAUCUCAGAGGCCAGAGACAGACUAGCACACAUCACACAGCUCUCUCAGAGUGUGGAGGCUGUGUGGCGUGAGCGGAGGUGGAUAAUGGACGUGAUGCAGUGUGUCCGCUCACGACAGCGUUUGGGGGCGGUGCCUCUACACCUCAUCAUGGGCUCACAGCCAGUCAAAAAAGAAGAGGGUGGACGAUUCCCCAUCUUGUUACAAACACAUACUCACACACCUGGCACAGGUGAGAAUACACCUGCACCUACACACACACACUUCUAGAUAACAGUGAGUCAUACAGUGUCAGAAUCA